AUUGAACGCUGGCGGCAGGCCUAACACAUGCAAGUCGAACGAGUGGCGGACGGGUGAGUAAUGUCUGGGAAACUGCCUGAUGGAGGGGGAUAACUACUGGAAACGGUAGCUAAUACCGCAUACCAUCAGAUGUGCCCAGAUGGGAUUAGCUUGUUGGUGGGGUAACGGCGCACCAAGGCGACGAUCCCUCGCUGGUCUGAGAGGAUGACGAGCAAAGCUGGACCUCAGACACGGUCCAGACUCCUACGGGAGGAAGCAGUGGGGAAUAUUGCACAAUGGGCGCAAGCCUGAUGCAGCCAUGCCGCGUGUAUGAAGAAGGCCUGCGGGUUGUAAAGUACUUUCAGCGGGGAGGCGUUACCCGCAGAAGAAGCACCGGCUAACUCCGUGCCAGCAGCCGCGGUAAUUC
rnacentral:rRNA from 1 species